rnacentral:piRNA from 1 species
UGUCCUUCUUUAAUUGAAUUCACUGGAUAC